rnacentral:rRNA from 1 species
AACGAACGCUGGCGGCAGGCCUAACACAUGCAAGUCGAACGCCCUGGCAACAGGGAGUGGCAGACGGGUGAGUAACGCGUGGGAACGUGCCCUUCGGUUCGGAAUAACUCAGGGAAACUUGAGCUAAUACCGGAUACGUGCGAGAGCAGAAAGGUUUAUCGCCGAAGGAUCGGCCCGCGUCCGAUUAGCUGGUUGGUGAGGUAAUGGCUCACCAAGGCGACGCUCGGUAGCUGGUCUGAGAGGAUGAUCAGCCACACUGGGACUGAGACACGGCCCAGACUCCUACGGGAGGCAGCAGUGGGGAAUAUUGGACAAUGGGCGCAAGCCUGAUCCAGCCAUGCCGCGUGAGUGAUGAAGGCCCUAGGGUUGUAAAGCUCUUUCGCCAGGGACGAUAAUGACGGUACCUGGAUAAGAAGCCCCGGCCAACUUCGUGCCAGCAGCCGCCGCGG